rnacentral:rRNA from 1 species
GUUAGGAAUAUUGGACAAUGGGCGAAAGCCUGAUCCAGCCAUGCCGCGUGAACGAUGAAGGCCUUCGGGUUGUAAAGUUCUUUAGCCGAUGAUUAUAAUGACUGUAGUCGGAAAAUAAGCCCCGGCUAACUUCGUGCCAGCAGCCGCGGUAAUACGAAGGGGGCGAGCGUUAUUCGGAAUCACUGGGCGUAAAGCGUGCGUAGGCGGUUUUGUAAGUUAGGAGUGAAAGCACAGGGCUCAACCUUGGAAUUGCUCUUAAAACUGCAAAGCUCGAAUCUCGGAGAGGAUAGCGGAAUUUCCAGUGUAGCAGUGAAAUGCGUAGAUAUUGGAAGGAACACCAGUGGCGUAAGCGGCUAUCUGGACGAGUAUUGACGCUGAGGCACGAAAGCGUGGGGAUCAAACAGGAUUAGAUACCCCGGUAGUCC